GGUACCUGUCCAGACCAGCGGUAAGGCCCUAGUAAACGCAGCUGCUAAACGACGACGUACCAUGUCCCAGGACCACAGGUAGCUGAAACAUCCGCUGCUGACAAAUCCUUUACACUUCAAAACCACAGCUGCCAGGUGCAUGGGAAGUUCCCCAUGUGGGCAAGCUGAUAUCAUGUGUACCUGGUGCAAUAGGUAAUAUGUCAACUAAAGGCAAUGGAGCCAGCGGUUCAGUGGUUGGUUCAUUUUCCUGUAAAACACCUGUCACAACAGAACAUCCGGUUGCUGGCAUAUUGUCCUUGUACCUGGUGUGUUUUGCAUAGCUACCAGGAGCAACCAAUUGCAUUCAUUAUAGGGGAUUGGUCGUGUUAUCCGAAUGCAACCAUUCCACAGGUACCUGGUCUUCAGCCUCGUCAUGUUACAGAACUAAACUCACAGGUUACUGGUGCAGCCGCAGGCCAAUAUCACCGCUGGCUACUACAGGUGUCCAGGAGCAGCUGUACACAAGAUCACCGCUGGCUACUACAGGUGUCCAGGAGCAGCUGUACAGUUUGAGCAUUAGAGCUGGGUUCUGGGUAUACUGGACUUAAUGUAUAUGAGUAGAGUGUCGUCAGCACAGGCUAAUCAGAGACGGCACUUUAACGUUGAACACAAAUCAAGUGUAGGCGGAAGUGUCCCUGAUAAGCCUGUGGCUGCACAGGCAAAUAUGGGACAUCACUUUAUGCACAUGCAUAAAGCCCAGUUUUCCCAGAACCAUGCUUAUUAUAUGGCACCAGGAUACCGUUUUACUAAGCUACUUACGCAAUUCGUAGACUUACGCAUAUAUUUUAAAUGCAGUAUAUUUCCUUUAAAUUUUUGCUACACUGACAUAUGGUAAUGAAUGAAAUUCAUAAAAUAAUGUUAGAUUGCAAGUACAAAUUAAUUUGCAUCAAUCUGAAAUAAAUUAAAUUCAAUUAUUUUAAAAUAUGUGCGUAAGUCUAAGACUUGCGUAUGUUGCUUAGUAAAACGGUACCCUGAUCCCUGUGACUGCUAACUUUGUGAUACUUCCUGGAAUUAGAAGGGAUUUAAAAGGAACAUGAACAUGACUGAUAUGGGCAUGGAGGAUUUUAUGAUAAAGUACAGGAUUGACAAUUUACUAUUUACUUGUAAAGAUUUGCUUUGUGCUAUUAUUGAAUAUGUGACUGUGAAGUUAAAUUUGAAGAAAUUUUGUGAAAAGUGCUGGUAUAUAGGUAGGUAACAGUAAAGAAAAAGAAUGCAUAGAAAUGAUUUAGUGAACUGUAAUUUGUUUUAACUUGAUAAUAUAACUUGCAUUGUUAAAGAUGUGUUGAUUCACAAAAUAGAAAUUAAAGUGCUCAUAACAGUGUACACAUUUUUUCAUACGAUUGUCUUAGACAUUAUGCCUAAUUGUUACUGUUAUUAUUUUAGAGUUAUUAGUGUAAAUAGUGUUGUGUUUUCCUCUCGUAUAAACACGAUUAAUUUACUUAACAUUUUCAUGAUGUAAAGUUUUAUAGCCAAUAUUAAUGAAAUUUCAUCCACCAUGAUAGUCAUAUAUGUAAUUCAUACUUCAUUUAUCAACUUUGUGUUAUGUAAAUAGAAGUUGUACAUAUGUAUUUACAUUAUAUUUAAUUUUGUGUUCUGUUAUUACAGUUCUUGUGCUUUACUGCAUUCAGAGAUAAGUACAUCCCAUUGCACCCUCAUGGCUUUUUGUGAUGUUGUUAAUUUUCGUUUUAGAGACUUCUAACUAAGUGAGCAUUCUGUUGCAGAUGUAUAGUGUUAAAGAUUAUAUAUAUAUUAUCUAUACAUUUAUUGUGUUAUUUAAGAUGUUUUCUUUAAUCAAAACAUAGAAAAUUAUAUGUACUGGUUUGUGUAUUUUUAUGUGAAGUGAAUGCACAAUGCACCUUCCCUGUAGCUCAUUUAUUUAUUUUUCUAUUGCACAUUAUUGUCCCGGCAUUACCGGUAGUUACCAAAAACAACAAGUAAAAAUGUAGAUGGAUAUGGGUAUUAGGAAGUUUUACUGACAACAGGUUUGUGUAGUGUUUUGUUUCUUUUUUUAGGUAAACCAACUAAAACAUGUAGACAAACUUUGAAUUUUGAAAUGUAGGAAAGAUUGCAAUGAAAGGCAGCUUUUUUUAGCUCACCCGAGCACAACGUUCUCUCUUGUGAUCACCUUUUGUCCGUCGUGCCUCGUCAACAUUUUGCCUUGUGAACACUCUAGAGGCCACAUUUAUUGUCUGAUCUUCAUGAAAUUUGGUCAAAAUAUUUGUCCCAUUGAUACCUCGACUGAGUUUGAAACUGGGUCAUGCUGGGUCAAAAACUAGGUCACUAGGUAAAAAAAAGAAAAACCUUGUGAACACUGUAGAAGUCACAUUUGAUGCCCAAUCGUCAUGUAACUUUGUCAAAAUGUUUGUCUAAAUGAUAUGUUGGUUGAGUUCAAAAAUGGUUCCAAGUCCGUUGAAAAACAUGGCCGCCAGAGGGCGGGGCAGUAUUCCUUAUAUGGCUAUAGAGAAACCUUGUGAACACUCUAGAAGUCACAAUUUUUGCCCAAUCAUCAUGCAACUUGGUCAAAACAUUGGUUUCAUUGAUAUCUCGAAUGAGUUCAUUUGCCCACAAGUGCAUAACUGUGUUAUGUCUGUUCCAAAGUUAGGUCAAUAUGUCAUAUUUAUUAGAACUGUUAACUUCUUUGAAGUCUCAGGUGAGCGCCUUAGGACCAAAGGGUCCUCUUGUUGAGCAAUCUUGCAUGAUUUAAGAGCAGCAUUUUAUAUCACCUUAAGAUUUACAGCGGUAAUUGUGCUAAUAAUGUCAAUUAAUUUUAUCGACAACUUCUUCUUUAGUAAUAUCCAUCGUAAAUUGAUGCAAAGUUUGACAUGAAAAUGGUUGGUUGUAUUCAUAAAUUUAUAUGAUGGUUAACAUGAAAAUGUCAUUGAAUUUUGCAGACACUUAGCGCAGCCAUAUAUUAUAAACAAUCCACAUUGUUUAUUUUCAGUAAAAUUGAUUUUUAUGAUAAAACUUUCCCACUUAAACAAUUUCUUUUAUAUAUAAAAAAAACAUGUAAAAUACGAUCUGGAUAUUUAUGUCGCCCACCACUAUAGUUGGGGACAUAUUGUUUUUGCCCUGUCUGUUGGUUUGUGAAUUUGUUUGUUUGCCCCAACUUUAACAUUUGCAAUAACUUUUGCAAUACUCAAGAUAGCAACUUGAUAUUUUGCAUGCAUGUGUAUCUCAUGGAGCUGCACAUUUUUUGUGGUGAAAGGUCAAGGUCAUCCUUCAAGGUCAAAGGUCAAAUAUAUAGCUUCAAAGCGGCGCAAAAGGGGACAUAGUGUUUCUGACAAACACAUAUCUUGUUUUAUGUAAAAAUGGAGGAAAAAGGGUUUCUAAUAGAGAAAACAAAGAAAAUCGGACUGCAAAUUAUCAGCCAUUUUAAUUAUUGCACAAUCAGUUGAUCAUGUGACUAUAAAAUCGACAAUUGUACAUGGCAUUAUAAUUUAGACAAGAAUACAAAUCGUCCUGUAAAGGUGUUUUUUGUGUGAGGGCAUAUAUAUGCUUUAUAUUCAUUUUAUGAAUAUUGAUUUCAGUAUUAAGUAUUGAAAAUUUGGCCACUUCAGAUUGUUUAACUUGUUGAAAUGAACCGCAUAUCGUUAUGUAACUGGGUGUGGGUUCAUGUACAAGAGCUAUUAAAAUAGGAGCGAAAUUUGCCGUUGAUUGCGUUGUUUAGGUGAGUAUCUUAUUCCUGCUGGCCAGGUUCCAGUGUUCUCUAGACUGUUUGCAUAUGUUCAAUCCAUGAUCACAUACUAAAGUAUAAAGUUUUAUGCCAUCACCUGUCUUGUGUAAUUCUUUCGCAGAGAAUACCGUGUCUUGUGUUGUGGCCAUAUUUAAGCCAAGCAUUGAGGUGUGAUACAUGUUAUGUUCUCUCUGUCAAUCUGAUAUAAGCGUUCAAUGGGUAAUGUUUUUUUUGUUUAUUUAUUGGAUUGAAUUCCAUUAUAUCCUUUAAAAAAGUAUUUCUGUAAACAAAACUUUAAAUAACCUUGCAGUGAAUUUCACUGAAACUAUGUAUGGUAAUCAUAUUAAACUUAAAGUUUUUUUAUUUGUUGUAUGAAACAUUUUGUUGAGACUUAAAAGGAAACACAGUUCAUUUCAGGAAAUUCCGACUUUUUACAUUUUCCGCUGAGUGGAUAGUUUUGCUACACGUCUUUUAAGCUCACCUGAUUGCUCAGGUGAGCUUUUGUGACCGGUCUUUGUCCGUCGUAUGUCCGUCCGUCCGUUAACUUUUGCUCAUAAACACUCUAGAGGCCACAUUUCUUGUCCUAUCUUCAUGAAACUUGGUCAGAAGCUUUGUCCCAAUAAAUCUCUGCCGAGUUCGAAACUGGGUUGUGCCGGGUCAAAAACUAGGUCACUAGGUAAAAAAAAAAGAAAAACCUUGUAAACACUGAAGAAGUCACAUUUCAUGCCCAAUCUUCAUGUAACUUUGUCAAAAAGUUUGUCUUAAUAUUAUCUUGGUUGAGUUCAAAAGUGGUUUUGGUCCAUUGAAAAACAUGGCCGCCAGUGGGCGGGGCAGUUUUCCUUAUUUGGCUAUAGAGAAACCUUGUAAACACUCUAGAAGUCACAAUUAUUGCCCAAUCAUCAUGAAAGUUGGUCAAAACAUUUGUUCAACUGAUGUCUCGGACGAGUUCGAAAAUGGUUGAGAUUGGUGAAAAAACAUAACCGCCAGUGGGCGGGGCAUUUUACUCUAUAUGUAUAUAGUGGCAGUUUUCCUAUUUGGCCAUAGAGAAACCUUGUAAACACUCUAGAAGUCACAAUUUGUGCCCAAUCAUCAUGAAACGUGGUCAAAACAUUGAUUUUAUUUAUAUCUCGGACGAGUUUGAAAAUGGUCGGGAUCGGUGAAAAAACAUGGCCGCCAGUGGCGGGGCAUUUUUCUCUAAAUGUAUAUAGUAAAAACAUGUGAACACAGUAGAAGUUACAUUUUUAGCCCAAUUUUCAUGAAAUUUGCUCAGAACAUUUGUUUCCUUGAUACGAGAGUUGAGUUAAAAAUGGCUCCGGUCAGUUGAAUAACAUGGCUGCUGGGAGGGGGGCAGUUUUCUCAUUAUGCCCCCCCCUGCCCCCCCCCCCCCUUUCGAAGAAGAGGGGGUAUAUUGUUUUGCUCAUGUCGGUCUGUCCGUCCACCAGAUGGGUUCCGGAUGAUAACCCAAGAGCGCUUAUGCCAAGGAUCAUGAAACUUCAUAGGUACAUUGAUCAUGACUCGCAGAUGACCCCUAUUGAUUUUCAGGUCACUAGGUCAAAGGUCAAUGUCACGAUGACCCGAAAUAGUAAAAUGGUUUCCGGAUGAUAACUCAAGAACACUUAUGCCGAGGAUCAUGAAACUUCAUAGAUACAUGGAUCAUGACUCGCAGAUGACCCCUAUUGAUUUUUAGGUCACUAGGUCAAAGGUCAAGGUCACGGUGACCCAAAGCAGUAUAAUGGUUUCCGGAUGAUAACUCAAGUACGCUUAUGUCUAGGAUUAUGAAACUUCAUAAAUACAUUUAUCAUGACUUGCAGAUGACCCCUAUUGAUUUUCAGGUCACUAGGUCAAAGGUCACGGUCAUGAUGACCCGAAAUAGUAAAAUGGUUUCCGGAUGAUAACUCAAGAACGCUUAGGCCUAGGAUCGUGAAAAUUCAUAGGUACAUUGAUCAUAACUCGUCGAUGACCCCUAUUGAUUUUCAGGUCACUAGGUCAGAGGUCAAGGUCACGAUGACCUGAAAUAGUAAAAUGGUUUCCGGAUGAUAACUCAAGAACGCUUAGGCCUAGGAUCAUGAAACUUCAUAGGUACAUUGAUCAUGACUCGUAGAUGACCCCUAUUGAUUUUCAGGUCACUAGGUCAAAGGUCAGGCUGACCCUAAAUAGUAAAAUGGUUUCCAGAUGAUAACUCAAGAACACUUAUGCCUAGGAUCAUUAAACUUCAUAGGUACAUUGAUCAUGACUUGAAGAUGACCCCUAUUGAUUUUCUGGUCACUAGGUCAAAGGUCAAGAUCACGGUGACCCGAAAUAGUAAAAUGGUUUCUGGAUGAUAACUCAAGAACGCUCAUGCCUAGGGUCAUGAAACUUCAUAGGUACAAUUAUCAUGACUCGCAGAUUACCCCUAUUGAUUUUCAGGUCACUAGGUCAAAGGUCAAGGUUAUGGUGACCUGAAAUAUUAAAAUGGUUUCUGGAUGUUAACUCAAGAACGCUUAUGCCUAGGUAAAUGAAACUUCAAUGGUAUAUUGAUCAUGACUUGCAGAUGACCCCUAAAGAUUAUCAGGUCACUAGGUCAAAGGUCAAGGUCACAGUGCCAAAAAACGUAUUCGCACAAUGGCUGUCAAGGUCACGGUGACUUAACUUAGAAAAAUGGUUUCCGGAUGAUGACUCAAGAAUGCUUACACCUAGGAUCAUGAAACUUCAUAGGUACAUUGAUCAUGACUCGCAGAUGAAAUAAUGAUGAAACUUGACCAGGAUGUUUGUCUUGACAAUAUCUAGGUCAAGUUUGACAUUUGGUAAAGAUUGAAGGAACGGACUCCUCUCAGGUGAGCAAACUAGGGCCAUCUUGGCCCUCUUGUUUUGUUUUUCCAAGAUUUUAAUUUUUCAAUUUUGAUUGUCUGACGAAUAUACAAUGACAGUGUUAUAUUAGGAAUUGUGAUUUUAUGCCCCCGGAUCGAAAGAUCGGGGGUAUAUUGUUUUUAGCCUGUCUGUGUGUCACUGUGUCAGUCAGUCAGUCAUCCAUUGUGUGUCCCAAAACUUUAACCUUGGUCAUAACUUUUGCAAUAUUGAAGAUAGCAACUUGGUAUUUGGUGUGCAUGUGUAUCUCAUGGACCUCCACAUUUUAAGUUGUGAAAGGUCAAGGUCAUACGUCAAGGUCAAAGGUCAAAUAUAUGGCUUCAAAGCCGCGCAAUAGGGGGCAUUGUGUUUUUUACAAACACAUCUCUUGUUUUGUUGUUGUUUUUUAUUUCCAAAUAAUCCUUGAUGCAUUCAUUACCUAUUGUAAAAUCAACACAUUGUUCCAAUUAAUAAUCUGCUUUUGCGUUUCUGUAAAAUGUAACAAAAAUCAUAAUUAAUGACAACAAUUAUAUUGCCUUAUUGAAAUAUAUCAAAUUUUGAAAUUUAAGAAAACUGGUUUUAAUAAUGUUGUUAAAGCUGGUCUUUUUGUACUUUGUGGACUAUCUUUUAUUUACCAGUAUCUACUUAUAUGAAUGAUCGUACAUGUAAGUUAUGUAAGGUUCAAAUACCAAUUUGUAUCGAUAAUCAAAUUCUAGUUUAAAGUUUAAUUUUGAUUUAUUUUUUUUUAAAUAUAUCUUACUUAUUAAGACAUUUAGCUCCAAUGAAUUAUUUGCUGUUGUUUUCGUUGUAAGUUUAAAUGCAGUUUCGAGUAUGUCAUCAACACUGGUUUCACACUCUCUUAAGGAUUUCAGGAUGACAAUUUCAUAAUUUCAUUAUGAUUAUUUUAGCACACAUUGAUAAAGUUUGUGAUUUCUCCUCUUUUCAGCUGAUUUCCUACUGUUCAAUAUCUAAGUAAUUUUACAAAUAGAUAUUAACUUUGCUGGAAUUAUAUACAAAUGAUUCAGCUGAUUUCCUACUUUUCAAUGUCAAAGUAAUUUUACAAAUAUAUAAUAAAUUGGCUUGAAUUAUAUACAAAUGAAGAAUUUAGUUGAACCCUGUAAUGGGAAUAGGGCAUUUUGAUCCCCUGAUGUGGUUCAGUAAUCACACCCCUACUGAUCUUGACUAUUGCAGGUAAAGCUGAUACAACAUUUGACAUACAGUAGAAAGUGUUAUGUUAAUAGUAAAAGACAGCUAUAGGCGCAUAAAGAAAUGAUUUUGACCAACAUGUAAAUAACUAUCACGCAACUUCUCAUUUAAUUUGCCAACGUUAAUGUAACAGGACAGUUGUUUUAGUAUUUAUGUGAUUCAUACUUUUUAGUCACUGCUUGUUUGCAAACCAUGAAAUAUUAAAAUUGCAUCAAUUUCAUGUUACAUCAUCUCGUCACUUAUGUGGAUGUUGCUUAGAGCAAAAAAAGUGCUUCAUGUCCAUGAUCAUGCAGAUAGAAUUAUGCCUACUUACAUUCAUAUCAACAGUAGACUGCACUAUGUUUAACAUGGCUUUCUUUACCAUUUUAUGAAGUUCCGGUCGGUUUAAUUUUGUUUUCCGUCAUUCUGUUUUGUCUGUAUAUGUGCUUCACCCAAAUGUGGGGUGGCUGCAAUGGGACAGUCAGUGUAGACUAUGUUGCAGUGAAAACUGUUUCUUUUUCUGUUUUAUGUACAUUUGUAAAGAUAUAUAAAGUAUUUGCCGUAA